rnacentral:lncRNA from 1 species
CUUUUUCCCCGCAGCGAUUCCCCGGUUCCUCGCGAGCGCCCUCCGUGCCCGGUGCUGAUCCUAUGGGGCGCCCGCGACCCGUUCCUGGACCCCCGGCUGGCCCCAUACCUGCGGCAGCGCAUGGCCCCCGGCGCCCGCCUGCACCUCGUCCCCGACGCGGGGCACUGGCUGCCCGAGGAGCGCCCCGACGCCGUCAACCGCCUCCUCUGGGAUUUCCUGGGGGGCGCGGAGGGGGGGGGGGGGGGGGGGGCAGCCCCCCAACCCUCACCCCCCCAUAUCCCAAAAUGAGGAUGGGGUCCGUCCGUCCUUCCCCCCCCCGGGGUCUGUGGGGUGGUGGGGAGUCCGGUGUUCGGAUGGGGACGGUGAUAUGGGGACGGGGGCGUUGAGUUCCCCGUUGGGGUGGGGACGUGGAGAUCCCAAUGGGGACCCCAACAUUGGGGUGGGGAUGUUGAGAUCCCAAUGGGGACCCCAACAUUGGGGUGGGGAUGUUGGGAUUUUCGUGGGGACCCCAAUAUUGGGGUGGGGAUGUUAGGAUUCUCGUGGGGACCCCAACAUNCCCCAACAUUGGGGUGGGGACGUUGGGAUUCUCGUGGGGACCCCAACAUUGGGGUGGGGAUGUUGAGAUCCCAAUGGGGACCCCAACAUUGGGGUGGGGAUGUUGGGAUUUUCGUGGGGACCCCAAUAUUGGGGUGGGGAUGUUAGGAUUCUCGUGGGGACCCCAACAUUGGGGUGGGGAUGUUGGGAUUCUCGUGGGGACCCCAACAUUGGGGUGGGGACCCCAGGGUUGGGGUGGGGACAUUGAUAUCCCAAUGGGGACCCCAGCAUUGGGGUGGGGAUGUUUGAAUUCUUGUGGGGACCCCAAAAUUGGGGUGCAUACCCCGUAGUUGGGAUGGGGACAUUGAGAUCCCAGAGGGGACCCCGACAUUGGGGUGGGGACAUUGGGAUUCUCGUGGGGACCCCAACAUUGGGGUGCGGACGUUGGGAUUGUCGCGGGGACCCCAAUAUUGGGGAACAGAGCCUGGUGUGGGGAUGGGGACAUUGAGAUCCCAGAGGGGACCCCAACAUUGGGGUGGGGACGUUGGGAUUCUCGUGGGGACCCCAACAUUGGGGUGGGGAUGUUGAGAUCCCAAUGGGGACCCCCAACAUUGGGG